rnacentral:rRNA from 1 species
CAGUAGCCGCGGUAAUACGAAGGGGGCUAGCGUUGUUCGGAAUCACUGGGCGUAAAGCGCACGUAGGCGGACACUUAAGUCAGAGGUGAAAUCCCAAGGCUCAACCUUGGAACUGCCUUUGAUACUGGGUGUCUUGAGGUCGAGAGAGGUGAGUGGAACUGCGAGUGUAGAGGUGAAAUUCGUAGAUAUUCGCAAGAACACCAGUGGCGAAGGCGGCUCACUGGCUCGAUUCUGACGCUGAGGUGCGAAAGCGUGGGGAGCAAACAGGAUUAGAGACCCCCGUAGUCCCUGUCUCUUAUAA